GCCUGGGUGGCCCAGUCGGUUAAGCAUCUGACUUUGGCUCAGGUCAUGAUCUCACUGCCUGUGGGUUCAAGCCCCACGUCGGGCC
rnacentral:tRNA from 1 species